GGCAUGGUGGCCAAGUGGAAGGUGUCAGUUUUGUUAACCAAAUCAUGGGUUCAAUCCCCGUCCGUGCCA
rnacentral:tRNA from 1 species